rnacentral:rRNA from 1 species
AGUGAACGCUGGCGGUAGGCCUAACACAUGCAAGUCGAACGGCAGCACAGUAAUUUCUUGCUCUUACUGUUUGCGAGUGUCGUACUUUUGCUGUAUACAUCCGAAUCUACUUUUUCUUGUGUGAUAACGUAGGGAAACUUACUCUAAUACCGCAUACGUCCUACGUUUGAAAUCAUGUGAUCUUCUUACCUUUCUCUUUUUAAUUAGCCGAUGUCGGAUUAUCUAGUUGGCUGGGUAAAGGCCCACCAAGUCGACGAUCCGUAGAUGGAGUGAGAGGAUGAUCAGCGAAACUGGAAGUGAGACACGGACCAGAAUCCUACGGGAGGCAGCAGUGGGGAAUAUUGGAAAAUGGGAGAAAGAAUGAUAAAGAAAAAACGCGUGAGAGAAGAAGGAGUUAGGGGAGUAAAGCAAAGUUGUUGGGAAAGAAAAGAAGCAGGAUAAAAAAAAGAUGUAAUGACGGUAACAAAAGAAUAAGCAACGGCUAACUACGUG